CCUUCGAUAGCUCAGUUGGUAGAGCGGAGGACUGUAGAUCCUUAGCUCGCUGUUUCGAACCCGGCUCGAAGCA
rnacentral:tRNA from 1 species